AUUGAACGCUGGCGGCAUGCCUUACACAUGCAAGUCGAACGGUAACACGUCUUCGGAUUCUGGCGGGUGGCGGACGGGCGAGUAAUACAUCGGAACGUACCCGACCGUGGGGGAUAACGAGGCGAAAGCUUUGGUAAUACCGCAUACGAUCUACGAAUGACAGCGGGGGGUCUUCGGACCUCGCGCGGUCGGAGCGGCCGAUGGCGGAUUAGGUAGUUGGUGGGGUAAAAGCUUACCAAGCCGACGAUCUGUAGCUGGUCUGAGAGGAUGAGCGGCCACACUGGGACUGAGACACGGCCCAGACUCCUACGGGAGGCAGCAGUGGGGAAUUUUGGACAAUGGGCGAAAGCCUGAUCCAGCCAUGCCGCGUGCAGGAUGAAGGCCUUCGGGUUGUAAACUGCUUUUGUACGGAACGAAAAGCCUCUUUCUAAUAAAGAGGGGUCAUGACGGUACCGUAAGAAUAAGCACCGGCUAACUACGUG
rnacentral:rRNA from 1 species